rnacentral:miRNA from 16 species
ACAAGGUGGGACUGACAGGUUCAU